GACGAACGCUGGCGGCGUGCUUAACACAUGCAAGUCGAACGGAAAGGCCUCUUUCGGGGGGUACUCGAGUGGCGAACGGGUGAGUAACACGUGAGUAACCUGCCCUUGACUUUGGGAUAACUUCAGGAAACUGGGGCUAAUACCGGAUAGGAGCUCCUGCUGCAUGGUGGGGGCUGGAAAGUUUCGGCGGUUGGGGAUUGGUUCGUGGCUUAUCAGCUUGUUGGUGGGGUAGUGGCUUACCAAGGCCUUGCCGGGUAGCCGGCCUGAGGGGGUGACCGGCCGCAUUGGGACUGAGGGACGGCCCAGGCUCCUACUGGUGGCAGCAGUGGGGAAUAUUGCACAAUGGGUGGAAGCCUGAUGCAGCAACGCCGUGUGCGGGAUGACUGCCUUCGGGUUGUAAACCGCUUUCGCUCAUGACUAAGCUUUGUGUGACGGUAGUUGGUAAAGAAGCACCGGCUAACUACGUG
rnacentral:rRNA from 1 species